rnacentral:rRNA from 1 species
GACGAACGCUGGCGGCGUGCCUAACACAUGCAAGUCGAACGGAACUGUUUUGAAAGAUUUCUUCGGAAUGAAUUUGAUUUAGUUUCGUGGCGGACGGGUGAGUAACGCGUGAGUAACCUGCCUUCAAGAGGGGAAUAACAUUCUGAAAAGAAUGCUAAUACCGCAUGACAUAUCGGAACCACAUGGUUUUGAUAUCAAAGAUUUUAUCGCUUGAAGAUGGACUCGCGUCCGAUUAGUUAGUUGGUGAGGUAACGGCUCACCAAGACCGCGAUCGGUAGCCGGACUGAGAGGUUGAACGGCCACAUUGGGACUGAGACACGGCCCAGACUCCUACGGGAGGCAGCAGUGGGGGAUAUUGCGCAAUGGGGGCAACCCUGACGCAGCAACGCCGCGUGAAGGAUGAAGGUUUUCGGAUUGUAAACUUCUUUUAUUAAGGACGAAAAAUGACGGUACUUAAUGAAUAAGCUCCGGCUAACUACGUG